rnacentral:rRNA from 1 species
GACGAACGCUGGCGGCGUGCUUAACACAUGCAAGUCGAACGGUAAGGCCCUUCGGGGUACACGAGUGGCGAACGGGUGAGUAACACGUGGGUGAUCUGCCCUGCACUUCGGGAUAAGCCUGGGAAACUGGGUCUAAUACCGGAUAGGACCACUGCCUGCAUGGGUGGUGGUGGAAAGCUUUUGCGGUGUGGGAUGGGCCCGCGGCCUAUCAGCUUGUUGGUGGGGUGAUGGCCUACCAAGGCGACGACGGGUAGCCGGCCUGAGAGGGUGACCGGCCACACUGGGACUGAGAGACGGCCCAGACUCCUACGGGAGGCAGCAGGGGGGAAUAUUGCACAAUGGGCGCAAGCCUGAUGCAGCGACGCCGCGUGAGGGAUGACGGCCUUCGGGUUGUAAACCUCUUUCAGCACCGACGAAGCGCAAGUGACGGUAGGUGCAGAAGAAGGACCGGCCAACUACGUGCCAGCCGCCGCAGUAA